rnacentral:lncRNA from 13 species
UUGUGUGAGGAUAUGAUAGCUGGAACUACAGAAACCAUCUUCCUAACAGGAUGGGAUGAGCUUCAGAAAAAAAGUAAAGAGAUGAAAAGAACCUGGACCCUGCAUGACAUCAUUGAACCACUACAUCAACUAACCCAGGAACAACCUGUCUUUGAAUUUUUUUUAUGCAACAUUUUUGUGGCUGUCACUCAGGUUUUCUGCUCAUUGGUAGACAAAAGGUAAGGAGGUGCUUGAAAUUGGAACGGUGAAAGGAACCUUCACCGAAACCUGGAACUUUGGAAGAAUGGCAAGACUGAAAAUGAUUAGUGUUAAUUGAUUCCAGUUGUGGUAUGCUACCCAUAAGGUAUGACUAGAGACCAUUCCUCAUUCCUAGUUUGAGAAAUAGGAAGCCCUGCUUCCUUGUAUCUUGCUCAUUUCCAUAUCUUGGUUGUCUGUGCUAGUUAUUUAUUGCUUUAAAACAAACAAACCACCUCUGAACUCAGUGACUUAAAACAGUAACAGUUAUUUCUGUAGCUCGAAAAUGUGUAAUUUGGGCAGGAUUUCGUGGGGAAGGCUCAUUUGCUCCACAGAGCAUGAGGUAGGGCUGGAGGACCCACUUCUAAAACGGCUUGUUCACAUGCCCAGCAAGUGUGGUGUUAGGCUGUCGGGAGUGCUCAGCCAGGGGUGAUGGCUGGGAGCUUCUCUUCCUCUCCAGGUGGGUCUCUCCACAAUCUGUUGGAACUUCUUCAUGGCAUGGUGUCUGAGUUAUAAGAACAAGCAUCCCAUGAGAACCAGGUAGGAGCUGUAUUUUCUUUUCUGACCUAGCCUCAGAAGUCAUGAGGCUUCAUUUCCACUAUUGUCAUAAGUCUACGCAGACUCAAGAGGAGGAUGCAGAGAUGCCACCUUUCAAUGAGAGGAUUAUCUAAGUCACACUGAAGAAGAGCAUGUUGGACAGAAGACACUGUUGCAGUAUUUUUGGAAACUAAAGCCUACCCCAUUCUUCAAGCAUUACCAUCAAUUCUCUGACCUCAGCAUUCUCCCCUUUUGCUUAUGUUAGCCAGAGUUGGUUUCUGCUUUUGCUUGUAACCGAAAAAUAAUGUAGCUGGCAUAAGCACAAAUGUAUCAGAAUAAGUAUAAAUAUUUAAAUUUCCUUAUUAAAAGACAGAAGCCCCGAAUUUGUAGAAACAAAGCAAAACAACCCUAAUAAAUUAAGAAUGUACAUGCUUUUAAAAUGUUCC